GCAAACUUGGUCAUUUAGAGGAAGUAAAAGUCGUAACAAGGUCUCCGUAGGUGAACCUGCGGAGGGAUCAUUUCUGAACCGAGGCCGGUGUGCCCCUUGGGGUCCCGGCCUUGCCUUCUUUCAAACCUGUGGGCAGAGAUGUGGAUUGGCGACCCCCUUUGGGGCCGCCUCUUCAAUGCACCCAAGCCUUUUGUGUCUGAGUUGAUGUAACAACUUAAAACUUUCAACAACGGAUCUCUUGGCUCUUGCAUCGAUGAAGAACGCAGC
rnacentral:misc_RNA from 1 species